CAAUAGCGUAUAUUAAAGUUGUUGCGGUUAAAAAGCUCGUAGUUGGAUUUCUGCCGAGGACGACCGGUCCGCCCUCUGGGUGAGUAUCUGGCUCGGCCUGGGCAUCAUCUUGGAGAACGUAGCUGCACUUGACUGUGUGGUGCGGUAUCCAGGACUUUUACUUUGAGGAAAUUAGAGUGUUUCAAGCAGGCUUACGCCUUGAAUACAUUAGCAUGGAAUAAUAAGAUAGGACCUCGGUUCUAUUUUGUUGGUUUCUAGAGCUGAGGUAAUGAUUAAUAGGGAUAGUUGGGGGCAUUCGUAUUUAACUGUCAGAGGUGAAAUUCUUGGAUUGUGUUACGACGAACUACUGCGAAAGCAUUUGCCAAGGAUGUUUNCAUUGA
rnacentral:rRNA from 1 species